UACGUAGGGCGCAAGCGUUGUCCGGAAUUAUUGGGCGUAAAGAGCUCGUAGGCGGCUUGUCACGUCGGGUGUGAAAGCCCGGGGCUUAACCCCGGGUCUGCAUUCGAUACGGGCAGGCUAGAGUGUGGUAGGGGAGAUCGGAAUUCCUGGUGUAGCGGUGAAAUGCGCAGAUAUCAGGAGGAACACCGGUGGCGAAGGCGGGUCUCUGGGCAGUAACUGACGCUGAGGAACGAAAGCGUGGGUAGCAAACAGG
rnacentral:rRNA from 1 species